rnacentral:rRNA from 1 species
GAUGAACGCUAGCGGCAGGCUUAAUACAUGCAAGUCGUGGGGCAGCGCAGGUAGCAAUACUGGGCGGCGACCGGCAAACGGGUGCGGAACACGUACACAACCUUCCGAGAAGUGGGGAAUAGCCCAGAGAAAUUUGGAUUAAUACCCCGUAACAUAACGAUGUGGCAUCACAUUGUUAUUAUAGCUUCGGCGCUUCUUGAUGGGUGUACGGCUGAUUAGAUAGUUGGCGGGGUAACGGCCCACCAAGUCUACGAUCAGUAGCUGAUGUGAGAGCAUGAUCAGCCACACGGGCACUGAGACACGGGCCCGACUCCUACGGGAGGCAGCAGUAAGGAAUAUUGGUCAAUGGACGCAAGUCUGAACCAGCCAUGCCGCGUGAAGGAUUAAGGUCUCUGGAUUGUAAAGC